rnacentral:pre_miRNA from 1 species
UAGUUUUUUUAGGUUUUGAUUUUUUUGGGCCAUUAGAUGAGAAAAUCAAAACCUAAAGAAAGUA